rnacentral:lncRNA from 10 species
AAAUGCUAUAAUAGAGUUCUCCAGUCUGAGGUCAGCGAAAGCUUCUCAAAGGAGAUGAUGCCUGGCUAAAGGGACUUUCUUUCUGAGAAAGGGAUCAGCAUGUGCAAAGAUGAAGAGGCAUAAGGACUGACCAGUGGGUCACGGCAAUGAGACAUUUACUGCUGACCUCCAAGAGAAGACUUCCAUUGAAUGAGAGGAAGAUCUACACUACUAAUGAUCAAACUUACCUGGAGCAGUAUCUGACACAGAUAUGUGUUGAGUGAAUGGAUGAAUAAAUAGAUAGAAGGAAGAUCCUCCAACUAUGAAGUUUCUUCUUUUCUUCUGCUGCUGUUGAGUAGAUGAGGGUGCCAAGAAAUAAGACAGCAACACCAGGAAGAAGAACAAAUUUGGGGCACUGCUGCUGUACUGAGAAUACAGCUGUGAACAACAUCCCUGUCGCUUUCGUUCUAGAGAGGAAAAACAGGAUCUCUAAUGCCUGUCAUCUGCGCCAUGGGCUUUAGUUCAAGUGAGUCUUCCUCCUACCUUCCGUGG